AGGAUGCAGGCCAUCCUACUCAAGGCUCCAACCAAUCCUAACGCUAACUUGACCAGAGAUGUUGUCAUUCGGUGUUUGGGGGAUCUUUAGAUCAUCUUCUAAAAAAGUAUGAUGAUGCUGAUGAAGAUAGUGUGCCACAGGACCUUGCUGUACAA